rnacentral:rRNA from 1 species
ACCAAGGACGUUAGUAACUGAACGUCCCCUUCCGGUAUCUAACCAUAAACCCACGGCUAACUACGUGCCUGCAGCCCCGGUAAUACAUAGGUGGCAAGCGUUGUCCGGAUUUAUUGGGCGUAAAGCGAGCGCAGGCGGUUUCUUAAGUCUGAUGUGAAAGCCCCCGGCUCAACCGGGGAGGGUCAUUGGAAACUGGGAGACUUGAGUGCAGAAGAGGAGAGUGGAAUUCCAUGUGUAGCGGUGAAAUGCGUAGAUAUAUGGAGGAACACCAGUGGCGAAGGCGGCUCUCUGGUCUGUAACUGACGCUGAGGCUCGAAAGCGUGGGGAGCAAACAGGAUUAGAUACCCUGGUAGUCCACGCCGUAAACGAUGAGUGCUAAGUGUUGGAGGGUUUCCGCCCUUCAGUGCUGCAGCAAACGCAUUAAGCACUCCGCCUGGGGA